rnacentral:rRNA from 1 species
GAGUUUGAUCUUGGCUCAGAACGAACGCUGGCAGCGUGGAUAAGACAUGCAAGUCGAACGGGGGAAGUUGCUAGCUUGUCUAAUAAUUCUCUAGUGGCGCACGGGUGGAGUAACACGUGAGUAACCUGCCUCCGAGAGCGGGAUAGCCCUCGGGAAACUGGGAGUUAAUACCGCAUAGUAUCGAAAGAUUAAAGCAGCAAUGCGCUUGGGGAUGGGCUCGCGGCCUAUUAGUUAGUUGGUGAGGUAACGGCUCACCAAGGCGAUGACGGGUAGCCGGUCUGAGAGGAUGUCCGGCCACACUGGAACUGAGACACGGUCCAGACACCUACGGGUGGCAGCAGUCGAGAAUCAUUCACAAUGGGGGAAACCCUGAUGGUGCGACGCCGCGUGGGGGAAUGAAGGUCUUCGGAUUGUAAACCCCUGUCAUGUGGGAGCAAAUUAAAAAGAUAGUACCACAAGAGGAAGAGACGGCUAACUCUGUGCCAGCCGCCGCCGU